AUGCCGUCGCCGUCCUCCUCUUCGUCAUCCAUGGUGAGGUCGAUGUACGGUGGUGGCUUUCAUAGGUGGGCAGGCUGCCCCUGCAGCGGCUGCAAGGCCGGAGGCGCCUGCAACACCUCUUCCAGUGGCGGGAACGGCGCCCACCCACACGGUCGGCACGGACGUGUUCCGGCGUGCACGGCACCAUGUCCGUCCACGUCCAGGACUGGCCCACCAAUGCCACGAAGGGUGCUCAUCGUCGGCCCCUCCUUGACCUACAACUCUGGGGGGAUGGCGACGUCGCAUGCGGCGGAGAGGGCCAGCAUCUCGUCAAGGCCCUCCCAUUGGGCACGGUUAUAUUUCAGUUUUAGAAAUACGUAUUGA
rnacentral:rRNA from 1 species